rnacentral:rRNA from 2 species
CAAAAACAUUGUCUCAUGAAAAUAUAUGAGAUAAUACCUGCCCAGUGACACAGUGUUCAACGGCCGCGGUAUCCUAACCGUGCAAAGGUAGCAUAAUCACUUGCCUAUUAAUUGUAGGCUAGAAUGAAGGGGUUAACGAAAUAAAGACUGUCUCAAUUAAUUACCUAAAAAUUAUUCUCUAUCUGAAGAAAGGUAGAUAAACUCGAAGGACAAGAAGACCCUAUAGAGCUUAAUAUACAAUAUAAAUUAACAUUAUAAAAAUAUUCGGUUGGGGCGACCCAGGGAUAAUUAAUCACCCACUAUAUAAAAGAUAUAUUAAUCAAAUUAAUGACCCUAUUAAGAUCACAAAAUCAAGCUACCUUAGGGAUAACAGGCUAAUCCCACUCAAGAGUCCUUAUCAACAGUGGGGUUUGGCACCUCGAUGUUGGCUUAGGGUAUCUAUAUAGCGCAAAAGUUAUAAAAAGAAGGUUUGUUCAACCUAUAAUUCCCUACGUGAUCUGUU